UACGGGUGGCAGCAGUGGGGAAUCUUAGWCAAUGGGCGCAAGCGUGAUCCAGCCAUGCCGCGUGUGUGAUGAAGRCCUUAGGGUCGUAAAGCUCUUUCCCCAGGGAUGAUAAUGACAGUACCUGGUAAAGAAACCCCGGCUAACUCCGUGCCAGCAGCCGCGGUAAUACGGAGGGGGUGAGCGUGCGUUGGAAUUACUCDGCGUAAAGCGAACGUAGGCGGAYCAKCAAGUAUGRGGUGAAAUCCCAGGSCUCAACCCUGUAAVUGCCUCYUAAACUBAUGGUCUUGAGUUCGAGAGAGGUGAGUGGAAUUCCAAGKGUAGAGGUGAAAUUARUABAUAUUUGGAGGAACACCAGUGGCGAGGGCGGCUCAYUUGCUAGAUAUAUACGCUGAGGUACGAAAGAGUGGGGAGCGAACAGGAUUAGAUACCCUGCUAGUCCACACCCUAAACGAAGAAUGCCAGUCGUCGGGYAGCAUGCUAUUCAGUGACACACCUAAAGGAAUAAGC
rnacentral:rRNA from 1 species